UGGGGAAUAUUGGACAAUGGGCGCAAGCCUGAUCCAGCCAUGCCGCGUGAGUGAUGAAGGCCCUAGGGUUGUAAAACUCUUUCACCGGUGAAGAUAAUGACGGUAACCGGAGAAGAAGCCCCGGCUAACUUCGUGCCAGCAGCCGCGGUAAUACGAAGGGGGCUAGCGUUGUUCGGAAUCACUGGGCGUAAAGCGCGCGUAGGCGGGCUGGUCAGUCAGGGGUGAAAUCCCGGAGCUCAACUCCGGAACUGCCUUUGAUACUGCCAGUCUUGAGUUCGAGAGAGGUGAGUGGAAUUCCGAGUGUAGAGGUGAAAUUCGUAGAUAUUCGGAGGAACACCAGUGGCGAAGGCGGCUCACUGGCUCGAUACUGACGCUGAGGUGCGAAAGCGUGGGGAGCAAACAGGAUUAGAUACCCCCGUAGUCC
rnacentral:rRNA from 1 species